AGCAUCCCCUUCAAUAACAAGUCGAGGAUUGCAUCCCACAGAGAGAUCUGCGGACAUGUGUAAAUAACCUAUGAUGGGAAUUCUUUGUUGUUCCAUGCUUAAAAAAAAAAAACCAAUUAUUCUAUUCUAUUUCCAGAAGCUGGAUUUCAAAACAUCCAGAUUGAUAUGUAUUCAGUCGUAAGUAGAUAUUAGCCAUUUAGUACAGCACGGCCGUGCUACAACCCACAGACCCAGAGAAGCCAGAUAACAAGGAGGAUGCGUGACUGUUUCUCAGAAGAGGAAACAAAAUAAACUCAGAGACUUUACAGAGCUGCGGCAUAGAAACGACCCCUGAGAGGCCAUGAGCAGGGAGCGAGGGAGCUUCAGACAGACUUAAAUGACCAGACUCCAUGAUGAGAAAGUCCUCUGAAGCUAUGACGUGGAAAGAGGCCCGGAAAACAUGUGGAACAAACCCCAUCCUUCAAUAGGCCUAACAACCACCUCCUGUCUUGUCCCCUGCGCUGUUCAAGUGGGCGGUUGGGAAACCAGGAGAAGGGCUAUCAAGGGACAGAGAUGUCUGAAGAGAAAGGCAGCAACCUGAGUCUGUUUUAAAUAAAACUCUCUCUUGAAAAUAAAAA